rnacentral:rRNA from 1 species
GGGUCAGUAGGUUGGUCGUGCCACCGGUACGUACUGGUCUCACUGAUUCCUCCUUCCUAAAGAACCGUAAUGCCAUUAAUUUGGUGUUGCGGGGAAACAGGACUGUUACUUUGAAAAAAUUAGAGUGUUUAAAGCAAGCUAACGCUUGAAUACAUUAGCAUGGAAUAAUGAAAUAGGGCGAUCGAUCCUAUUUUGUUGGUCUCUAGGAUUGACGUA